CCUACGGGGGGCAGCAGUGAGGAAUAUUGGUCAAUGGACGAGAGUCUGAACCAGCCAAGUAGCGUGAAGGAUGACUGCCCUAUGGGUUGUAAACUUCUUUUAUCUGGGAAUAAAAUGUUCCACGUGUGGGAUUUUGUAUGUACCUUAUGAAUAAGGAUCGGCUAACUCCGUGCCAGCAGCCGCGGUAAUACGGAGGAUCCGAGCGUUAUCCGGAUUUAUUGGGUUUAAAGGGUGCGUAGGUGGAUUGUUAAGUCAGUUGUGAAAGUUUGCGGGUCAACCGUAGAAUUGCAGUUGAAACUGGCAGUCUGGAGUACAGUAGAGGUGGGCGGAAUUCGUGGUGUAGCGGUGAAAUGCUUAGAUAUCACGAAGAACUCCGAUUGCGAAGGCAGCUCACUGGACUGCAACUGACGCUGAGGCACGAAAGUGUGGGUAUCAAACAGGAUUAGAUACCCCAGUAGUC
rnacentral:rRNA from 1 species